GUUCGUUAGCACAUCCCACAGUAUAGAGCUCCCUGGCCGUAUGGACCAAAGGAUGCUGCGUGGUCGGAGCUGAGGUCCUUGAAGGUAACAAGGAGAACAGACUGUGGAAUAGCCUCCUGGAACUCAAGAGGAGACCAACUUUGGAGACAGAUCCUAGAACUGUGGGCUCAAGAGACAGAAGCCCCAACAGACUGUUGAUUUCUACAUUUUUAAACAGUUAUAUUUUAAAUGCUUAUACAAGUACCUACGCAAUAUCCUUGAGCUUAUCCCUUGGCUGAUAAAACCUCAAAUAUAUACUAA